CGAGCAGCGUUCUCCACUAGCACAUGCGCAGUGGCGCCGAGGCGAGGUCGCUGCGAAGCCCGGGAGCUAGGGGUUCCGGCCGGGGCCUCUGGGGACCCGGCUGGAAUGAGCGUGUACUGACGGCUCCCGGCUCCUCCCAGGGAGAGAAGCGGUGAAGCUGAGCCCCUGAUGCAGCUCUGAGUCGAGCCUGCCACGGAGGCUCCCGCCACGCCGCCGCCAUUGUUGCCCGGGCUGCGCCGACGGGGCCCGAGUGACAGGGUCUUGCUCAUCUUUGCAAGUUCUGGACUCAGAAUUUGUUACAAGACACUAACUUUUAUCGUGGUUCCAUUCUGGACCUGGCCUCAGCAGCCCUUGGGGGGAAAAAAUUGUUGUGACUGUCACAUGAGACUUCAAACAGUUGGCUCAAUUCUGGAAAAAUAAAGGGUACUGUCAGGUAGGUCCUCCUGUCUGUAGCAGUGUUGGCCUCGAGAGAGAAGAUGGCAAAUUCUUCACUUUCCCAAGUCCUUCUAAUGUGGAAGCCAGGCAAGAUCCAGAAGGGACCCUGCAGUGCUGAGCAGCAGACACUCACCUCAAGACUCUUGCGUGACACUGAAACCUGUCGACGGAAUUUUAGAAAUUUCCCAUACCCGGAUGUGGCAGGCCCUCGGAAAGCGUUGUGUCAGCUCCGAGAGCUCUGCCUGAAGUGGCUGAGACCUGAGGUUCAUUCCAAGGAACAAAUUCUGGAGUUGCUGGUGCUGGAGCAAUUUCUGAGCAUCCUGCCUGGGGAGGUUAGGACUUGGGUAAAUUCUCAGUACCCAGAGAGCAGCGAAGAAGUGGUGGCUUUGGUGGAGGAUUUGACUCAGAUCCUAGAAGAAGAAGAAGCUCCUCAGAGUUCUGCCCUCCCCCAAGACACCCCAGAGGAUGACCCCAACCAUGACCCCAACCCUGCUUCCCAGGCAGGGUGGCUCAGUGACGUGGUGACCAAAGACUUGGUGACAUUCAAUGACGUGGCUGUGGACAUCACCCAAGAAGACUGGGAACUGAUGCCCCCUGUUCAGAAGGAAUUGUAUAAGACUGUGACUUUACAGAACUAUUGGAACAUGGUUUCUCUAGGACUGACUGUGUACAGGCCAACUGUGAUUCCCGUCUUAGAAGAGCCGUGGAUGGUGAUAAAAGAAAUUGUAGAAGGCCCUAAUCCAGAAUGGGAACCUAAAGCUCAGGCACAGUGCCCAGCAAAGCAUCUCCCUGAACUCAAGCAGGACGGAACCCAAACCGUAAAACUGGAAGAUUCCUAUGACGACGACAACGAUGACAGCGUAGAGAGUCCGCCAGUGUGUGCCUUCGGGAUGAUCCACAUAGAUGAGGAAGGCUUCAGUGUGAAGUCAGAGCUUUCACAAGAAGACCCUACAGAAGAAUACCUUAGCAAAUGUGACAUAUAUAGAGUGACUUUUGAAAAGCACACAAACCUAGGGGUCCAGUUUGAUACCCAGUCGGAUGAUAAAACUGCUCUGUAUAAUGAAAGCAAGCCACCGUUCAGCAAUGCCUCGUCUGGUGGUGCCGUGCGUGGGAAAAUACUUCCUGGAGAUAAGCCUUAUUCCUGUAAUGUCUGUGGGAAACAGUUUAGAAAGUACCCUUCCCUCCUGGCGCACCGAGAGAACCACGCCAAAGAGAAAGCUUAUGAGUGUGAAGAAUGCGGCAAAGAAUUUAAGCAUCUCUCCUCCCUCAUCGCACAUCAGAGAAUGCACACCGGAGAAAAACCGUACGAAUGCCACCAGUGUGGGAAAGCCUUCAGUCAGCGAGCACACCUGACUAUACACCAGAGAAUUCACACUGGAGAGAAACCCUACAAAUGUGAGGACUGUGGGAAAGACUUCAGUCAGCGCGCGCACCUCACCAUCCAUCAAAGGACACACACUGGGGAGAAGCCGUAUAAAUGUCUGGAGUGCAGUAAAACCUUUAGCCAUAGUUCAUCACUGAUUAAUCAUCAGAGAGUUCAUACUGGAGAAAAACCUUAUAUAUGCAACGAAUGUGGGAAGACUUUCAGUCAGAGCACGCACCUUCUCCAGCAUCAGAAAAUCCACACUGGGAAAAAGCCGUACAAGUGCAACGAGUGUUGGAAAGUGUUCAGCCAGAGCACUUACCUCAUCCGACACCAGAGAAUCCAUUCUGGAGAGAAGUGCUACAAAUGCACUGCCUGUGGGAAGGCCUUUGCCCACUCCUCAACUCUCAUUCAACAUCAGACCACCCACACCGGAGAGAAGUCCUAUAUAUGCAACGUGUGUGGGAAAGCCUUCAGCCAAAGCGCCAACCUUACCCAGCAUCAUAGAACACACACUGGAGAGAAACCGUACAAAUGUAGUGUGUGUGGAAAAGCCUUCAGCCAGAGUGUGCACCUCACCCAGCACCAGAGGAUUCACAAUGGAGAAAAGCCCUUUAAGUGUAAUACCUGUGGGAAAGCUUACAGACAGGGUGCAAACCUGACUCAGCACCAACGGGUCCACACUGGAGAGAAGCCCUACAAAUGUCACCACUGCGGGAAAGCCUUUAUCUACUCUUCAUCCCUUAACCAACAUCGAAGAACUCACACUGGAGAGCGACCCUAUAAGUGUAGUCACUGUAACAAAGAUUUUAGCCAGAGAACAUGCCUUAUUCAACACCAGAGGAUUCACACAGGAGAAAAGCCCUACGGAUGCCGUAUAUGUGGGAAAGCCUUCACCCAGAGUACCAAUCUUAUUCAGCAUCAGCGGGUUCAUACGGGUGCCAGACAUCGCAAUUGACAGAUAUGAGAGACUUUGUUUAUGCUUUAAAACUUGAUUGCUUAAAUUUCAUUGUGUGCUCUGUCAAAAUACCCAAAAGAAACCUAAAGACGUGCAAUAUGCUUGAUACCACAGUGUCAGAAAGUCCCAGAAGUGUGUCACACUCUCAGAACACUCAGCUGAGCUUCACCCUGCUCGCCCUUGUCCCUCCAGUGCCUUGCAUAAGGUCAGUAUAUUGGUGGGAUUGACAGUGAGUUCUGUAAACUGGAGUUGAGUAGUUAAGGUAGAAUCACCGGCAUGGAAAGAGAAUGGGCGGGACCGAAAGCAACCUCUGUGCCCAUGUGUCACGUCUGACAGUUUACUGUGAAAUGACAGCUCAAGAAUGGAGACUCAGAAGUGGUGGGACACCGUUCCCAAGGGAAGCCCCCGAGCUAAGUGAGAGGAAACAAGUUCUGGUGCCAUAAAUUCCUAAGCUUAUAUUGACAGUAUAGCAUCACUAGACACCACAGCAGGGAAUGAAGAACAGGUCCAGGCGAUCCUAACGGGAGUGCUUUCUUAAGGGAAUUGUCACUUUCUCCUUCCUGACAUUAGUUAUCUUGACUUCGUAGUAUUCACAGAGCACUGGUUAAAGACAUGCUCAGACUAUACUUGCCCCACAGUUUUGUUAAGGAUAACAAGUGCGUUUACUAUGCUUCUUGAUGUUGCUUCAUGCCUUGAUAACGCUUCUUUCCGCUGGGAUGAGUGUGGCGUGGUACAGGCCACAGGGCGGAACUUUGUGUUUCUUACCUUUGUGCGUUUUUUGUAAAUAAUGCAUUUAUAAAGUCUUCCACUGGUUCACGGGGGCAAGUAAGGCUCCUAUUUAAAAAAAAAAAUAGAAUAACAGUACAGAAUCCUGUCUCUGUGCCUUUUUCCCAUUUUAAAGUUGUCUGGUCCAUGAGUGAUUCACCGGGUCUUUAGCAAAUAUUUCCUACAACUUUUUCUUAAGAGCAGUGCUAAAUAUGUGAACAAGGUUAAAAUCAUAAAAUCAACCGUACACACCACCUAGAUUUUAAAGUUAAUAUUUUACCAUAUUGAAAAGUAACUUAAGACACUUCACCUCUAAAUACAUCUUAUAAAAAAAAAAAAUGCCAUUCACCUAACUAUAGUACCUCAAAGACAAUGGUCAGUCCUUUCUAACAUCUAACCACUAGUCCAUUUCCUGAUGUCCCCUGUAGAGCCGGUCAGUGUCUGCACAUGCCCUGUUCUGUCCGUUUCCUCUGCCUGGAACAGACUCUCAGUCUUCUAUUGUUUUCAGGGUGUGUUGAUCGUCACAUUCAGGAUUUAGCUGAGAGCCCAUACAUGGCUUGCAUGUGCUGCGCGGUAUAUGUCCUGGAGCUUCUGUGAAGUAGAAGUUGAGGCCAAAGGCUUAACUGAGCUCCAAUUAAACAUCUCCAACCAUAGCAUUGCACAGUUGCAUUUCCUCCUGCAUCGCCAGAGCUCACUGUCAGGCCAACACACUGCUGCUGACAUGACAUUUGACUAAUGAAGUUGUGACCUUCAGAUUGUCCCAGUGCAAUUCCUCCUCCUAUGGUUAUCUGUCUGUGACUGACACUUGGGCGGUGUGGCUGCCUCUGUACGCACAAUUUUGUACCUAGUCACAUUGUUACCUAAGAGUAACCCUUGCCUGUGUCAGCUUCUCCACUAAGGUCUACAGAACAAGUGAUUUUUCUAUUGCUCUUUCCACAUUUGCUGAGCAAUAUUCUGUAAGGAGGAAUUUUUCUUCAUUCGCUGAAAAUGCAUCAGAAGCAAGGUUGUGCUUAGCUCCUUUACACUAAUUAACUAGUUUAGAAGUUUUCUGUGUUAUCUAAGGUGACACAGAUGAGUCUGUGUUAGUCCGUUACAGCCACGGUCUCUGUGAACCUCCUGACAUUGCAUCCCCGGUCCCUGGGUGAUGCAUUGCCUUCUCACAUGAUAUCUCAAGUUCGUCCUACACUGGCCUUGCCCCAAACUUGGAUGGAAACAGCCCUUCUGAAGCUCCUGCUCCUUUUUGUAAGUAACUGUUUAGAAACAAGAUCUGGGCCCUCACACACCCUGCAACUGGAGUGACGUUAGCAAGCGUUUCCAACCAACUUUAUAAAGAAGAAAUCCUGUCUUCACUCACUUCCUCAGUUACAUGGUAUCCAAGAAUGUAAUGAAUGCAAUUUUACCAAUGGGGUAACUGGGACAAACCGCCAGGUCUUGAACAUCAGAGUAAUUGACGAACAAAACAAGUGUGGGCAUGGAAAGGAACAAGUAUGACCACUCAAGGUCAUCAGUGCAAGGUCGUCAGCCAUUUGUUCAGGGGGGGAUGGAGUUUGUCAGUUAACCUAGCAGUGGCAGUGGGUUAAGCAUAGGGCAGUUAUGAAAGCAAGCAGAUAUAUGCUAACUGCCACACUGUAACAAUUGCAUCUCAAUAGCUUUAUAAGCUAGUAACACCUUCUGUCACUUUUAGUUGUGGUUCUGGUUUGAACCCAGGGGCCUCACAGGUUAAGCUAAAUGCUCUACCACUGGGCUACACCAUCAGAUCCCUACCCUAUUUCUCUCUCUCUCCCUCUCUCUCUCUCUCUCUCCCUCUCUCUCUCUGUGUGUGUCUCUCUCUGUCUCUCUCUCUCUCUCUCUCUCUCUCUGUGUGUGUGUGUGUGUGUGUGUGUGUGAUUUGUGUAUAUGCUGGCUGACAUGUACACAUGGGUGUUCAGGCCAAAGUUCAGUGUUGGAUGUUUCUUUCUCUCCAUCAUUCUCCACCUUAUCUUUUUAUUUACUUUAUAUAUAUAUAUACACAUGGGUAUUUUGUUUGCUUACAUCUGUGCAUUCUAUCCGUGCAGCCCUUGCAGCAGCCAGAAGAGGGCAUCAGAUUCCCCUGGAAUUGGAGUUCCAGCUGGUUGUCAGUCACUAUGUCAGUUCUGGGACUGGAACUCUGGUCCUCUGGUAGAGCAGCAGUCAGUGUUCUUAACCGCUAAACCAUCUCUCCAGCCCUCCACCUUAUCUUUUUAUUUACAGACUCCCUUUAACUGGCUGAACAGCAAGCUCCAUCCAUAUCCGUGUGUUUCUAAGUCCUCAGCACCAGGUUACAGCACAAACCAGUGCUCUGGCUGAGGAUGUGAACUCCGUCUUCCCUGCCCAGCAGGCCAGCUCUCCAGACAGGCAUCACGAUUCUUAAGCUAGUUCUCUGAGGACCUGUUGAAUGCAAACAUAAACCAUGUUUUGUCUGUUCCAGACAGGGCCUCACUGUAUAGCUCAGACUUGAAUUUAUUAUCCCCCUGAGUCAGCCACCACAGGCUAAAAUUAUCGCCAUGGACCACCAACGGGCUUAGCAAUCGUUUGGUUUUGGUUGACUUAAGUUUUAGGAUUGUAACCUUUAAGGUGUAAUGAUUCGGUUUUUGUUUGUUCUUGGGUCUGCUCCGUACAUGCCCUGUAAAUGGAAUCUGCAUCCUCUGCUUUGCUCUUGCCAGGGAUCUGUAUUUCACCAUGGCUGUUUGCCCCGUUGAACACUAGAACCAUUCAAAAUGCCAGGCAUGUGCACUUUGGUGAUCCAUAUAAAAUGUACAGAAGGGAACGGUGAGUCUACGAGUUGAAGUGUCACUUUAUAAGUCAGAUGACUUUAUCUUGAAACUAGCCAGGACAGAUACUCUCUUUCCAGGAUAGAAUACCAACCAUACAGUUUAUGAUAUGAAGUACUUCACAAAACACAUCCACACACACACAUGAACACACACUCAUUUCGUCUUGGACUAUAUAGUGUUCCCAAAGUUGGUAAAGGUGUCCCAGUAUGCAGAAAAUGCACUAGCAGAGGGAACGGCAUAGAACAUUAUAUGAUGACGAAAAGAACAGUGUCAACUUUGUGAAAACUGGGAACCAACAGAGCGAAGGUUCAAUCCUCCUGGGACCUAGCUGCAAUGACAAGGGCCAGCCAUUUCUUCUCUUCUGGGGCGGAGACAGAGCUGUAAAGCGCUAGGAAGAGGAAGGGCCAAACACUCUGCCUGCCUUGAGGUGUUCAGUGCUGAAGUGGAAGGCCAGUGGGAGCUUGGACAUAAUUCUAUUCUCUCCGUGUCCAGAGAGGCAGGCUGUAAACCUUUGUUCCUUUGACAUCCACUUCCCAGAGCUGCCAGAAGAUUAGAUACAGCCUCAUUCCACUUCCCUGUCAAGAUCUGGCAGAGCACUGCAGGAUGGCAGAUUAGGCUAAAGAGAUUUUUACAUUUUAAAUGGUCGGAGGUGUGUGAAGCUGGACUAUGAAUUCAUGGCCAGCCCCAUCUACAUCGUGAGGAGUUCCAGACCAGCCAGGGCUGCCAAUGCGACCCUGGAGAGAAGGGUUGGGGAGGAACUUCUGUGUCGAUGUUUGGUUCACAAUCAUGCCCAUUUGUUCAGUGUGUGUGCUUGCAUCCGAGCUAUAAUUGAAUCAACCCAUAGAGACCAUAGAGCCGAGUAUGUACAGUCUAGCUCCUUACACCUUCACCAGUGCUCUACACGGUUGGGUGAGUAUUUCUGUUAGCUAAACCAGACCACAAAAUAAUGAAAGGGCAGCCCCACUGGAGGAGGACAAGAGAGGAGAUGGUGACAGGAAAUGGGUCAAUCAGAGAGCUAUAACCCAUGGAAGGAAGAAGUACCCAGGAAUACACCCUGAAGCUCAGGUGAAGGGCACCGACGGCAGCGCUGAGGAGAGCUCUGGGCAUGCAAUUCCACAGACAGGCUGUCCUGAGUCAGAGAUGCUGCCUGCCUGCCGGGAAAGGGGUCGAGAACAGGAGUGGGCUUCCCUUCGAGUGGCUGCAGUUCACCGUGUCUGCCAGCCUUGCAAAAGUUAACUGUGGGCUCAAGCUUCACAGUUUGGACACACGGUCUUGAUAUCCUUUCCUCUCGGUCCUUCAAAGUCUACAAGGAAGGCAGCGUUUCAGACAUGAGCCCCUUUUGCUAUUUGUGUGUGUGUGUGUGUGUGUGCUCUCUACCUUUCUCCAACCAGGUCCCCCUCACCGGCUCAUGGAGACCUCCUCCUGUCGGAUGCUGGGAAAUGACAACCAAGCCCCGCUUCCAAAGUCACUCAAAACCUCUGAGCUAGAGACUCCCUUCUCCAACCUCAACAGGCAAGGAUAGCCAAAGCCGGAAAGACCCCAGUCACCCAGCCUCGGACUGCAAGGGCUGCUGGGACACUGGGAGGCCGAGAAUGGAGUUCUGGGAAAUGUGGUCAAACCUGCAUAGCCCCACUGUCCCUAUCCCCUCAACUCCUAACCUGAACGAGAGGUGCCAGCCCUGGGGGUGAGCUGCAACAUGCAGACAAAACAUACACACAGACGAAAAAAAUAAGAAAAAAUUAAAAAGUUAUGAGAGAUGGUUGAGCAGUAAAGUCCUUAUAGCCCAAGCUACAGACUAGCAUUUAAGUCCCCAGUAACGACGUAAAUGCCAAGUAGACCUGGUCAGUGGAGAUGGGAAAACUAGCUAGCCAGACUACCUUUCAACUAGCUGUGAUUUAGGCUGAGAGAUCCUGCCUCAAUAAGCAAGAUGCAGAGCCACCUAGAAAGACUCCCAACAUCUACCAGGCCUCUUCACACAAGCACACAUCGAUGCACGCACCACACACAGACAACGAAAAAGAAUUUAGUGUGGAGGACCUGCUUUUUGUUAAGAUCCUCUGAGGAGCUAAAGGAAGAGGAGGUCCUCGCUGACCCUGGAGCACAGUCACAUUGGCUGAGCCAUCUGAGAAGGCCAGCUCACAGGGAUGGAGGUCUGUUUGAUCAGAUCUCUAACUGGGCCAGAAGUGAGGUAAUGAGAGCCCAAACCUACUCCAUCUUGGGGCCCGUCUCCAUUUAAACAACAGCAACAAGAAGAAGCCUGAGAACUUAACCUGCAGCAGAACCCAAGCUGCACCCAUGUACCAGAAAGGACCUCACGGCUUGUCCUUGGCCACAGUUACUCCCUAGCUACAUCCCAGCAACAGUUAAUCAAAGUUUAGUCUGACUGUUUCAGAAGUACUUUCACAUCAUUCGUGAUUGUGUCUUGCUUCAGAGCACCCACCUGUUGGCUCAUAGUCAUUCUAUUACAUGCUUGCCAGACUGGACACCCCCUCUCUCAGCACCUCACUUGCUCCUAUAAAAACUUGUCCUGCUGUGCCAGGGUGGUUCUGCCUUCCCCUCCUGUCCUGCUGUGUCAGGGUUGGUUUGGAGGAAAGCCCAAGCCCUAGCUUGUAAUAAAGAGAUCCUAAAGUGAGGGGAGAGAGGGCAGUGGACUUUUAUCUCCGGUUAGUUGGAUUCUAAGCAAUACUAUGGUGCCAGUUUGUUGUAGUAAAUCUCUAACCUCAAUAAGUCUAUGCAAAAAUCAGUUAUCGUAUUUAUAAGCUGUACGCCUACAUUCACAAUCUAUUCCCCAGCUAUGAGAUCCCUUGCUACUCCUGGCUUUUCCAGGCUAUGUGCUUCUGUUCCAUCUUCCUUCCGCCUCUUCUUCUUCUGUCCUUCCUCAUCAUCAUUCCUUACCCUUCCUCUGCUCUCAAAAACCCCCAGCCCCACCUUUCCCUUCCACCGCCCAAUCACAGGAUCUAACCUUCACUUGACCGGUUAAAAUGGGGAGGAGGUUCACAUGGAAUCACCUGUGUGCGUGAUCCACUCCUUGUCCAGGCAGCCCCUCUUGAGGAAGCAAAAUUCACAUUAGAAUAUAAAUAGCACAGGGGCAACCCAAAGCAUGCUAUUACAUUGGGAACAUCUCCUUGGUGGUCUUUUGGGGUUCACGAAUGCUUCCUGGCACAACAGUAACGGUAGCUAACACCAUCUAUUCCCUCUCUCCUCAGAAGAUUGAAGCAGCUUUCCCAUGACCUCAAAAAUGAGCCCAGAGCCACGCAUCUAGACCAACUUCUUAAGUUCUCAUCUCAGCCAGGCACUGUGACAUACGCCUUUGAUCCCAGCACUUGAAGGUAGAGGAAGCUGAUCUCUUAGGAGCUGGAAUGUCAAGAACACAGUCUAGGUACCAGUGAAGUUCAUCCUGGCUGAGCAGUGGUGCUUCUAGGCGGCUCCCACACAGAGCUGGACUUCACACUGAUGGGCUACGGCACCUUUGCUUCACUUCAUCAGUCUCACAUCUGUGCCUCUAGUCUCCCACGUUGGAAGUGCAAAUUCUGUUUAUUUGCCUGACGCUUGUUUGAGAAAGACACCAUAAGGACAAAAGCAUAAAUGUCCACAACUGUAGCUGCUGUCCCUGACACCGUGACCAUGGUAUGGCAUAGCCUAAACUUUUUGAUGAUCCGGCAUCAUGAUGAAGAAACAUGGCAGUUUUUCUGAAACAAUGUAGUUCAGGCCCAGAUAGGAAGCCUGGAGAGGUCUUCCUUGUGGCUUCAGCAGCUUCUCCCAGCAGAAGAGUGGGCAAUUACUGCUGGAGGGGAACAUAGAACUAAGGAAUUGCGUUCAGCACAUCCGCUGCACAGCUGGGACUCUUCUUGUGCAAAGAAUUUGAAAAGAGUAAGGUGCUGUGGAAGAGAAAGAAAAGAAAGUCCUUACAACGGGCUGGAGAAACGGCUCCACGGUUACAAGCCUAUGCUGCUCUUGCAGAAGGCCCAAGUUUGGUUCCCAGAGCCCCCACAUCGGGUGCUCACUGCUAGAAUUCCUGCUCCAGAAGAUCUGACCUGACACUCCGGGCCUCUGUGGGUACCUACAACUCACAUACAUAAAACCCAUAUGCACAUGACACACACAUAUAUGCAUAACUAAGAAAACAAAAGUAGAAUCUUUUUAAAACAAACCAUAGUGAGAGCAGAGGAUGUGGCCCGUGGACUGAGCCCCAUCUGGCACAUAUGAGGCUCUAGGUUCAUCAGGACAGACUUCCGGCCACAUACUGUAAGCCCACUCACCUGACACUGGUCCUUCUGUGAAAGAGAACGUUCUACAGUGAGACAUUUUUAACUAUUGUAUAGCAGAAACAGACAAUAAAUCUAUCACUUGA